UAUAACAUCAUAAUGGUAAUAUAUAUAUUAUAUAUAAUAUAUAUAUACUAUUUGGGUUUGAAAAGUCUAAACAAGAAGACUUAACAUUGCAUUUUUAAAAAGAUACUGCUAUACGUCUUAAACAAAGAUAGACUUUUGUUCUUAUUCUAUACAAGUUGGAAUUUGUUACAGAAAUGGAUCAGAGACUAGGUCCCAAGAGGAUGUAUCAAAAUGUUUUAAAACUGGAAACCUAUAAUAAGUAUAUUUUUGCAGAUCACUUGUAACAAACUAUAGCUGGUAUAAAAUAAUGGAGCUAAGGAGGGGAAAGCAAAGUGAAAAUUUCAAAAUAUUCAGGUUCUGUCUGAUUAUAACAAGAAAAAUCAGAUGGUUUCACGGAGUCCUUAACUUUCCUGAGUUUUUGUUUUAUUCUGGAUUUCUGUGACCCCCUUAAUUCCUGGCCAUCUGCCUGGACUCCUCUGACUUUGGCUUCUGUUUGGGGAGCUUUGUGAGUCAUGUUCUUUGCUACACUCAUGAUUAUUUGCCAGUCCAGUGGAGGUUUGCCCCUGCCCAGAUUGUGCUCGGCAACAGACUCCAGAAGCCCAGGCAUAUCUCAACCUCUUUCUCUGCAUUCCUCACUUCUAAUUGUAUCUCAAGUUGCACCUGCCUGAGCUUCUUAAUACAAAUCUGUCUCCCAGACUAGGCCAGAACAGAGGAGAAUCUUGUCCAGGGCUAAGGUCAGCAAAGUACCUUCAGGUACAAACUAGGGAAGGUAGGCUAAAGAAGUGGUUUUCAACCUGUGGGUUGUGACCCCUUUGGGUCAAAUGACUCUUUCACAGGAAUCACCUAAGAGCACCCGAAAACAAAGAUAGUUACACUACAUUUCUAAAGAGGAGUGAAACUACAGUUAAAAAGUGGCAACAAAAGUAAUUUUAUGGUUGUGGGGUUACCACAACAUGAGGGACUUUAUUAAAAAGUCAUAUCUUUAGAAACAUUGAGAACCAUUGUCCUAAAGAGUCCUGCAAAGUUGGGCAGUGUCUGAAAACAGUUGCAUGUGGCUUCAUUUUGUCUACUUUACAAUAAGAUGAGAUUAGUUCUUGAUAUUUUCUCACAGCCAAGGGAAGAAAUGUGGACUAUAUCACGUUAGCCGUAUUUUGCCAUCUGCUAUGUGGUUGUGAAAUAGGAUCUCUAUAGGCUGGACUAGCCAGUGUUCUCCAGAGAAACAGAACCAACAGGAGAAAUACAUAUUUAAUGUUCUACUGGUGAUCUAUAAACACUCUAGUAAUUAUAUUAGUAUUAUGUGAAUAUAAAAGAUGAGAGGUCUCCCAAUCUCCCAAUGAAAAUAUGGUGGUAGAAUGUGAAGGUGUGAGAGCCAAAGAUGUGUGAUGUCUAAGCUAAUAUGGAUGUGAAAUUCUGAGACCGAGGAGUGUUGAAGGCAGGAAACUGAGCCUCAGCUAAACUAGUCAAAGAAAGAAAUCUAUAUUCUUCCUCCUUUCCUUUCUAUCCAGGCCCCAGGAGACUGGCGGGAACCUAUCCUCAUUGGGCGAAGAAGACAAGUCUGACCCAGUUUUAUUUGUUUUUUCUUUAAUUACUGAUUUCUUCCAUAGACACUGCCACUCAGAAGUAACGCUUACCUAGGUAUCUGGGCAUCCCAUUGCCCAGGCAAACUGACACAAAACUAACCAUCAUAGGAGGCUUUGUUUUCCUUUCCUUUUUUAAAAAUCACAUCUUAAAAGUUUCGAUUUCUCAUUAAACGCCAGUCAAGUUAUAAGUCCCAGAUGAUGUAAGUAUUUAAAAUUAUAAGCCUAAACAGACUGGAGUUAGGCAACAAUGCCAUCCAGCUCAUGCCAUAUCAGUACAUGAUGUGCUGGUAUCCACAUAACCCCAACUAAUUUCUUCAUCACCAAUGGAGAAUGUGGACAUUCGGGGACUCAAAACCACAGUAAAGUGGCCUCCUAACCCCUUUCUUAUGCCCUUGUGGUAGUUUGAAUGUAAUUGGCCCCCAUAAUCUCAUAGGGAGUGGCAAUGUUAGAAGGUGUUGCUUUGUUGGAGUGGGUAUGGUCUUGAUGGAGGAAAUGUGCCACUGUGGCAUCGGUCUUUGAGGUUUCCUAUGCUCAGGAUGCUCUCUGGUGUCUCAGUUGACUUCCUGUUGCCUACAAGAUGAAGCAGCUCCAGCACCACGUCUUUCUGCAUGCCGUCCUGCUCCUGUUAAGAUGGCAAAGACUGAACCUCUGAAACUAUAAGCAAACCACCACGAUUAAAUGUUUUCUUUAUAAGAGUUUCCAUGGUCAUGGUGUCUCUUUGCAGCAAUAAGAACCCUAACUAAGACAGCCACCAGAUGCUGUCUUGUGAAGGGUCUCCAUAUGGGAGAUUUCUCUGCAGAUGGCCUCUGUCAUCUCAAUAUUCAAUGUCAUCUACAUAGCAAACAGAAGUCACCACGAGCUCAGAACUCUUGGAAUGGUUGGGUUACUACAUAGCUAAGUUCCUGCAGCAGUUACUUUGUUAUUACUGCUCAACUCUCCCAUUGUAACACAAACAAUGUGGCUUUCCUGGUAUGGGGACAGUGAUCUGCUCAUAGGGUUGAGUGACUGGAGACACUUGUCAUGGGCCCAUGGAGAAGGCUCUGCUACUAUCCUCCAGCGUGCACAGAUGUGGAUUUCCUCAUGGGUGUUCUCUAAAGCCUCCUACCCACCUUCUGCUGCCAGCCCUACUUACUCCCACAGUCUCUGAAGGAGCAAACAUUUCAUUAUCGGAAAAACUCCCCUGUGACUUCUUUCCCUCCCCUCUGAUUUCCACUAUAAAUGACUUGGCGUAAGUGGUUCCUUUUUCUGCUGCCACCUGACAGCUGCAUAGUAGGUCAGCUGGCAGAUGUGCUUAUGGCUUCUAGGACAGGUGGGUCAGCCUCUCAGCCUGGUGAUAAAUGACAUGGUCACUGUGUCAUACAAGAAAGUGCCGUGUAUUGAUGAACAAACAAGUGUCCUUAGCAGUCUGCAUGAAUUCCAACUAUGGUCUAUUUGCAUUCCUUUGUUUCAUGAAAACCACAUAAGUGAUAAGUGUAAGGAUGCUCAUCCCAAGAAGGAGUAAGCAGGAAGAGAGGGGUGUUUGGCAAUUCGGGGUUGGUGAUAGCUAUCUUACAAAUAUAAUCCAAACCUAGCACCGUGAAGAUGGCCAGACUCACAUACUCUUAUUUGUUUCACUGAGCUUGAGGAGGCAAUAUCUUGGUGUUUUCUAAGUCGGAUGACUCAAUUAUUAAUAAUAGCUAUUUGUUGGAUUGUAGGGCAUUAUCUGAAAAUGUUUUCUUGGAUCUGACUAAUGAUUUGAAUUUAAAUAUGCUAUCCUCGGUGCCCCCAGAAUAUCUUCAGUUUUCUAUGACAGGUUCAAACAGUGAGCACCCUAUUGUUAUUUACUCGCUGGGGAACAGGAUGGAAGAAGUGCUUAGGCAUAUCAGACAUUUUAAAGUUUAAUAGCUACCAAGAUGAGAAUGGCAGGUAGACUCUUACAAAUGCUACAUUUUUUUUAAUAUCUUGUGAAAUUCCCCAAGAAGCUCCAUAGCAACAUUUGCAAGUAUUUAUGUAAGAAAGUGAGUUUAGGAAACGUUUAAAUAUUUAUGGAAUGUUAGAAGUGAGGCAUUAAUUGGCAAACAACUUAAUUAAAAUGCUUUCUCAAGUCAUUAGCAACAAAUACUUCCCUAUCUGCUUUGCAUGCCGUUUGUCUUGUUGUGUUUGCUAAGCCCGCCUGUCAGUCAAACUUUGCUUCAGGUGAUUUUUUAGCUCUGUGGGGAACAUCUUCAAAAAUUACAUCUGAAUUUAAAAUAUUUUGAUUAUCAUUUUUAUCUAACAAAUUCUCUUUUUCACUUCAUCUUCUAUAUGUCCCAGUAAACCUCCAUCCUGGGAGCUUAGGGCCUGAAGAUGAAAUUCUGCAUCAAGCAUUUCCGAGCCUCCCCAAGUGCUCUCCAGAGAACAAACUGAAUCAAUCUAGAAUCCACAAACAGUGCAGUUAAUUAAUGAGAGCACCAUGAGGGAGCUUUUUUAAACAAUGUUGACGGCUGCUGCCUCAGGACCAAUAGUACCAGAAGUUAUUGCUGGUUUGAAAGAAGCGACUCUUAGGGUUCCCCCAAGGCACCUUCGCUUGCAUUAGCUAUUUACUGCAACUUUUCCUCUUAUUUGCACCCUAGAGGAAGAGCACUUAUUUCCUAAAUUACUUUUAAAGUGAUGCUUACGCUUGCCAGUAGCCUGAGGUACAGAGAGAAAAGUGGCGCAGAAUAAACAAAACAGAAACCAAGUCGGAGAAACUGCUGCAAAGUCUACAGGAAAAGCACUUAGACUCGGGACUGUGUUUCAAAUCAGAAAUGCUAUGAUGCCACGUAAAGGCUGAGGUUUGCUCGACACAGGCCUGGUCUGGCCAGGGAGAGCAUAAGGGUCCAUAGCAAAGGGUGAGGCUUGCAGAGAAGGGUGAUGGUAUGGGGCAUGAGGAGUAGGAAGAUAGAAACAUUUACCUGAGUAAGAAGCCCCAUUAAACUAAGACAACACAAGGACACUUCGUUCUUCUCGGUAUUGCACCUCAGUACCUCCCAACAUCACAUCCCAGCACUUAGCUGUCAAAAAAAAAAAAAAAACAUUCAUUGCUCUUAAAAUAGUGCCUGACACAUUGUAGUUGGUUGGUGACGGAAAUGAACAGAAACUGGAAAGGAAAACCCUACAUCUCUUCCCAUAACUUUCUCGACAAUGAGAAACACGUAGAGCAAUCCUUCCAUUCAGAGUUGGCUGCUUCCCUUCCUGCCUAACAUGUGGUAAAAGAAAUAAGAUCUAAUAGAUUUUUCUCUACCUCAUAACAGGUUUCGCCACUGACACAGUAAGCCAGAUCACGGCAAAUUGAAAAAGCAAAAGAACAGGUUUGUUUUGAGCAAAUCAACUCCCAGGUGAGUCCUCCAGCCCCCAGAGAUCAAGCCAGGAGAUGGGGCAGGAGAAAUCCUUUGGCCAAUCUAAAGAGGGGCAGGAGCCGGGUGGUGGUGGCACACGCCUUUAAUCCCAGCACUCGGGAGGCAGAGGCAGGCGGAUCUUUGUGAGUUCGAGGCCAGCCUGGUCUACAAGAGCUAGUUCCAGGACAGGCUCCAAAGCCACAGAGAAACCCUGUCUCGAAAAACCAAAAAUAAAUAAAUAAAUAAAUAAAAAUAAAGAGGGGCAUGUAGGCAAGGCAUGGUGACAGGUGGUGACAUGUUGUCCAAUACAAGCUGGGUUUGUACUCAAUUAUAACUCUUUGGAUGGGCAUUUGGGCAUGUGGCAACUUCAGGGAAGGAACGGAAUGCAGAACUCAACCUUUUGGUAGCUUUUCUUUGUUGGAGAUUCUUUAAGAGGGUUGGAUUUGGAGAAACAGCUUUGGCAGGAAUGAGAUGUACAUUUCAGCCCAAAAAGAGCCAUGCAUUUCAGUCAUUAGAUAAUUAUUUUCAAUAAACCUGCUAGAUGCAGUGCACUGGGCUAGAUUAAUAGGAAUUAGAGAACAGAUCUGGUUCUUGCCCUUAAUUUUUACUCUGAGGAGGAAAUCAGAUCUGAAUUACUAACAACUCCAGUAUAUAACUAUAAAAUGUGCUAAGUCACUUAAGACCAUUACUGGGUUGUACGGCAGACUAUCAGUGAGUUCAGAAGUUUAGAAUUUUCCUUUACAGAGAAGUACAAUUUAAGGACGACGUAGGUACUAGGGCUUCACCAGAAUGUUUCUCUUGCAUAUUUCUUGUGAAUGAAGAUCUUAUUCAACCUCUGACAACGAGCAGGUCAGGCCAUCAGGAGCUCAGCGUACACUGCGAUUCUAAGCCCUUCAACCAGUGUGACCAACGAGACUAUUAUAGUGGAAAAAGAAGUCAUCAAAUUCAUGGACUCACAAUUCCCUUUCCUACUGAGAUCCUAUGUCUGAAAGAAGAAAAAAAAUGAUUCCUUUAAUUGAAAACAAAUUAGAGUUUCCAAUUUGAAAGUAGGUUUAUUGGUAGCAAUAAUACCAUGGAAAUAUAUUAACUGGUGAUUUGCUGUACCUCAAGAGACAUUUUUACAUUCUUUUAUUUAUUUAAUUACUUAUUAGUAGUUUUAUUGGACUAAAAAUUUGUGUGUGAUUUUCAGGCCAAAAUCCCACGUGCGAUGUGUGUAGUUUCUAGGUGUGUGGGUGGGUACAUGUGUGUGUGUAUAUGUGGAGGUCAGAAGAAAAUCUCAGUAGUCAUCUAUCUAACUUAAAAAUAACAAAAACAACAACAAAAAAGGACCUUUCAUUGGGAUCUUUGGCUUACACACUGAGUUCCAGAGACCCUUCCUUAGCUACCUCCCCAGUACUGGGCUCACAAAGGCACACUACCAUUUCCAGCUAUUUACCUGAGUGAUUGAGACUAAACUCAGUUCCUUAUGCUUGUCCAACAAGCACUUCCUUGAGUCAUCUCCCCAGCCCCAACAAGAUUCCUGUUGUUUAUCUUAAUCAUGUUAGAAAUGAUUAAGAAUUAUUAAAAAGGCAUCUCAUUGAAUGCUUUUUUUGAAGUUUAAGAAACAUUUCAAUAGAAAAUUCUUUUUUGCACCCUAUUUAUUUUUGCUCUAAAAGUCAUUCUUGUUAUAAACUUCCUAAGCAUUUCUGUUGAAAAGACUAUCAGGUGAAUAGUUUCACACUUUUAUAUGCUCAAAAAUUCUUGAGGUAGAAAAAGAUCCAAGGCAAUAUACUCAGUAUAGUCACAACUGCAUUCCAACUCUUGUGAAAAAUAUGAGUGGACAGAAUCAUUGAAAAUCAAAUGUAUUUUCCUUUGGAAUGAAUUCCUUCUGCUAGAGGUUAGCUUUACUUCUGAGCUUUGCUCAGUUUGUAUGGGGAAGACUUCAUAAAAGAGAGGGAAAGGUGUCCCGAGAAUGUGUGAACUGGCAGAGGAAAAACAGUUUUUUUUUUUUUUAAUUUCAGAAAGUUCAUAAAGACUACCUGUAUUUUGUCCCUAAUUAAAUAUCACAGGAAAACAUCAGUGGAUACUGUGCUGUUGUGUCUUAGAAGCCAUUGCUUAAUAGAAGACACUUCUUGCCUCUUAACAAGAUUGCUAAUGCUGAUUUCCUCUAUGAGGGUUUGGUCAGCAUUCUACAAACAUAUUUCUGUAUUUGAGAGAUCAAUUCUUUCACCAGGUUGUUGUAGCACGUGUCAUUAGUCCCAGCUUUUGGGAAGCAGAGGCAAAUGGAUCUUUUAGUUAAUGGCUAGCCUGAUCUUCAGAUGGAGUUCCAUGACAGCUAGUCCGACAUAGAGAAACCCUGUCUCAAAAAUAAAAACAAAAACAAAUCAAGGAAAUAAAAAAUAGAAUUCUUCUACUCUCUCUCUCAUUUACCCAAUGUAUGACCAGUGCCGUGAAAUAGAGAUGGGACUUGAUCGGGGGAGGGAGACUUGAUCGGGGGGAGGGGGAGGGAAAUGGGAGGCAGUGGCAGGGAGGAGGCAGAAAUCUUUAAUAAAUAAAUAAAUUAAAAAAAAGGUUAGGACAGAUAGAUUUACACAUACAGAUAGGGCUACAGUCACAGACAUAAGCAUCCACAUGUAAAGAUAGAUGAUAGACAAUAAAAAUAUGAAAUCACGGCUUUCAUUAAAAAAAUAAAUCUUUAAAGAUACACAGAAAAAAGACUGAAAGAUAAUGAGUGUCAUACAUUUAACUUGUAUCUCUUAGUGGCUAUAUUAUAUGUAUAGUAGAGAUGGGUUGGUUUUGGAAACAGGCAUUGCUCUUCCUGUGCAUAAUUUUUUCCAACUCCUUUGUCCUGUAAGCUAUUUCCAACUGAUAAAAUUAAAUCUCCACACUGAUAAAAGAUACCAUAAUUGAUUAAAAACUACAUUUUUCAGGUUAAUGAGGCCAUGAAGGUUGGUUUGUUCGUCAGUUGUUACCAUAACAAAUACGCAAUACAUCAACUUAUAAAGAAGAAAAACUUUUUUUAAUCAUCAGGAGAACCUUUUGCUUUUAGACUUUUGAAGAUCAUAUGGUAGAGAUACAUUCACAUUAUGGGUAGAAUACAAAGUGAGAAGAGCCCAGGGUCCCUAUCCCAUUUUAAGUGAUUGUGAGAAGUUUUACUGCCUCUACCGUGCUCCGCUGUUUUCUAGUAGCCAACUAUGGGAAACAGUCUUGGUAUAGGGGCCUUGCUAGGACCCACAGAUACAGACUAUGGCUGGCAAAAGAAAAAUAAGAAAACAAGAUCAGCUUUGUCUUUAGGUAUGAUUCAUGGUGGACAGAAAAAAAAAAAAAAAACCAUGCCUGUCUACUGGCAAACAAACACACUCUAGAGAUUACAGUGAGCUCAUGGGGCCCUGGAGGCUGGUUCGCAUAAAAACUAUGGAUUACAGUGAGCUUAUGGGGCGGUGGAGGCUGGUUCACAUAACAAUUCCAUUUUACUCUACCUCUUAUACCUCCAUUCAGAAAUCCCCCAGGUCUAGGUACUGGGAAAUGCUUCUCUUCACCUUACUGUGCACACACACUCCUGCUCUCAUGUACAAAUCUAGGGGUUUCCAAUCUUCGGCUAAGUUACUUAACCCGUUGUUAUUUUCAAAUCAUACUUGAGUCAAAGGUAACAAAUGUACAAUAUCUGUAAUGCCACAGACAUCAAUAGAUAAUUUAUUAAAAUAAGGAUAAUUUGGAGAAAAAAGUAAAAACCAAGGAAUAAAAUUAAUUUUCAUGAGGUAAAUAUUUAGAAAGAACAUUCAGUAAUCACUGCCUGAAAAAAGAAAAAAAGAAUACCAAAGAGGAUGGGUUGGCAUGAGAUGCAGACUCUAAGAAACAAAAAAGGAUACAAGUAUUAAAAUGGAUGACAGAAAAGAGCAAAUUAUUUUUGAAGAAUCUUUUCAUUUAUGCUAAUCAUUUAUUCUUCCAAGGGGAACAUGGGUAUAAUGCUGAAGAACUAUAAAAAGGAGCCAGAAGACUGCUCAACUAUGAUCCAAAUUAACACUCUCUGAGAAGAGUGUUAAUUGUCACCUCUGCUACAAACCACAAAUUGAGGUAUUCAAUAGCAGCGGAUACUUAAGGACCCAAACAAGCAACAUCUAUUUGAAUAUAACUGUCAGUGUCAAUGUCAAAAAAACAGUAAUAUCAGGUAUUGUAUUAAAAGAAUAAAUGUGGACAUUUUUCACGUAAUAAUCAUUGCCUCUAUGAAGAGGAGAUAUUUUGGCAGCAUUGAAAUUGAAAGAUUUACUUAUGAAGAAUGAUAUCAAUGUAGCUAAGAUCUGAAAACUCAAUCCAGUUAUUCUUUAAUGUUCAGGUGUUGAUUAGGGUUUUUAGUGGGGUAGCUGGUAAUUGAACCCCAGGCUUCACAGACAGUAGGCAUGUGAUUUUUCAUAAAGCCACAUUCCAAGCACUUAGUCUUGCUAAAAAAUUCUUCACUGAAGCCUAGGAUUCUGUGAUGUGAGAUUCCCCUCUGUAUGCUUUGAAUAUGUUUUAUUGUCAUUGGUUAAUAAAGAAGCUGCUUUUGGCCAAUGGCUUUACAGAACAUAGCCAGGCUAGCAAAGAUAUAUAGAGAGAGUAGUCAGAGAAGAAGCCACAUAGCCACGAGAGGAGAAAGACAUGAGCUGCCCAUUGGAUAUCUUACAAAUAAACCACAAGCCUUAUGGUAAAAUAUAAAAUAACAAAACUAGGUUAAUUUAAGAUAUAAGAGCUAGCUAGCAAUAUGCUUAAGUGAUUGGCUAAGCAGUGUGUUUUAAUUAAUACAGUUUCUGUGUGGUUAUUUUGGGUAUGGGCAGUUGGAAAUGAAAAAGUAGCCUCUGAGAGAAUUCUGGGUUCUUUCUAUAAUUUAAGUUGGACCAUAUCAAUUUCAAACUCGCAAGAUUCCUUUAACUUCAAAAUGGAGGAGAAUGGUGUUGUGAGUUUUCAAGCAGCUCAUGCCAAGGCAUCUUCUUUAUUUGUGAAGUACUUGUUGCCUUUUCUAUUUUGCAUUGUUGAAACUCGGGUAGAAUUUAGCCAACUUCCAUGGUGCAAGGGCAUCUGUGCAUUUAUCCCAAUGUGUUUAACAUGCUGCUGUCAAGUGAGAGAUAUACAUGCAGUCCAGAAUAAAAGAUUUGAUUUCCCAGAGCCCUGGAGAUACCUCUUAGAACAGGAGUGUCUGUUUGGAUUAGAUGGUUUCCAGUUAAACAGAUGGGGUACCAGUCUCCUGGGAUUGAAACUGGCAGAACCUUCUAGGGCAUUCAAUAAAAGAAUCAACAUUGUUUAAAGAGGAAUCAAAAAGGCUAGGGUCAAAAAAAGACAUGGUUUUGCAUGGCAGUAAUAAAGUAGACUUACCUACAAUAUAAAUGUGCCAAUGAAUAUGAUUUCUUCCAUAAAGUAAAAUUAUGUAAAUUAAUAAAAAUAUAAGCACACAUAUUUUCAGAUUUUAAGAUUUUUAUACAAUAGUCAUACAAAUUUAUCAUAAAAAUUUUCAUGGAAAAAUUAGUACCCUAUGGCUUAAAAUUAAGAUGAUCCAUGUCAAAUGUUUAUCUCUUUUCCUGCCAUUUUACCAAGUUCUCAUAACACUUGAUGACUAUUCUUAAGGUUUUAUAGUCUGAAAACAUGACUAAUAUUCAUCAUGAAGGCAAGACAUUCCAGGAAUGAGUUUCAACCUAGAGGGUAGAAACUAUGAUUUCAAAUCCCCUGUUUUCUUAUUUGAGAAACACAGAUGUGGUAGAAGGGAACCAAUCAACUAAAAAAUAACAAUAGUCUUUCAACAGUAUAUUACCUUCCCCUUUGAAGAAGAGUUCCCUUUAGGAACCUGGAGCAAGUGCAGAUGAGGAGACUGAAUUCAGUUCUACAUGUGUUCUCUCAGUUAUCUCAGGGGAUAUCCAUAUAGACUCCAGAAUUCCUUGCACGUAGAGACCAAGGAGAAAAAUUUACUCGAAAGAUGCAGAAUUUAAGAUAAUGGCAUGGGCCAGGCAGUGGUGGUGCACGCCUUUAAUCCCAGCACUCAGGAGGCAGAGGCAGGCGGUUCUCUGUGAGUUCGAGGCCAGCCUGGUCUAGAAGAGCUAGUUCCAGGACAGGAAACAAAAAGCUACAGAGAAACCCUGUCUCGAAAAAAAAAAAAAAAGAUAAUGGCACGGUCAGCUACUGCCAUGAAUGCAGAAGAACCUGGGUGUGUCAAAGGUAUACCUAAGAAAAAUGAGUGCCAUCAAAGUUACAAAAGGGAAUAAAUGAUAAAAUUUAUAUUUAAACAAUAGAAUUCUUUUCCAAAGAGAUUAAAUAUUUUUAAAGCAAAAAUGUUUAAUAUUAGUAUUCAGUUUGGUAACUUGGAAACAACUAUUAACUUUUUCUAAAGCAGAUCCCAUGGUGAGGGAAGGAGCGUGAAUUCUGUGGGAAGCAUAGAAAGGUAAACAUGGGGACACUAGUGGUUGAGUGUUUGCAGGGUAUUGUGCAGUAUUAGCUUCAUUGUCAGCAUCCCACAAAACUGUACAGAGUGGUGUAUGCCUGUAAUCACAGGCCUUGGGAAAAUAAGAAAUCGAAGGACCUCCUCUGCUACAUAGCAAAUUUUAGGUCAGUCCUUAGUUUAUGGAAACCUAUUUCCCCAAAUAAACAACAACAAAAAAUAGAACAUGUAGAUUUAGACAUUUAGGUAACCUGAUUGAAAAAUUCAAAAUCAUCCACAGUGAGGACCAGAAGAAAAAUUUCAAGUUUAACUAUUUACUUUGCUUGUAUGUAACCCUUUGUUGUUUGCACAGCAAUAACUUUAGUGUUACUAUUGGACUAUUAGAAAGAAAGUCAAAACAGGAGUUCUGGGAUAGCAAGGUUAAGGUAGAGGCACUUGAGUGUAGGCCUAAAACUCUGAGUUUCCAUGUGAGAACUCAUUCCUAAGAGCUGUUCUGUGGAGAACAUGUGCACACACACAUGUGCAUGUGAGUGAGAACACAGGAAAACGGAGUUAGACAUUCAGAAAUAGAUAAAUCUAGAAAGGAAACAUACAGAUAUUUUAUAAAUUUCUUUAUUAGCAAUGGAAAUUGAUGACAAAAAUAAACAGAAAGGAUUUAUUUGAAUCAAAACUUUAUAAAGUUUUAACAUCUUAAGAAAAACUUCAAUAGUGAUUGAAUUUUGGAAUGAAAGCAUUUAAUAUUUAGGUAGAAGCUAUUUAGCCAAGAAAUUAAACUUUGAAAGGGUGAAAAAUCUCAAAGUGUAUGUACAUGACAACUUUGAAUUUUAAGAUACAAAACAAAACUAUUAAAAAGACAGUGAGAUAAUGAGAAAACAAAAUAUUAAAGUUACAUGGAACAUCAAUGUUAAAGUUCCUUAAAAUGCUAGCAAUAGAUCUACCUUAUGAAUCAUCCCUACUAUACCUGGGCUUAUACUUAAUGCCAAUCUGAGAAACUUAAUCUUUUAUGUUCAUUGCUGCUCUAGUCAAAAUGGCCAGGGAAUAAAAAAAGUCUAUGUGUUCACCAAAUGAUAAAUGAAUAAUGAAAAUGUGGUAUACAAAAAUAAUGGGAUAUUAUGUAUUUUUAAAGAAAAAAAUAAAAUUAUGGGAGUAACCAGCCACUUUCUGAUUUGAUUCGAUGUAAGCCCAUUUAAUGAACCCCCUAUCCAGCACCAUUCUUGAGCCAAUAACCUGUGGUUAGACAGGCAAUUAUAGGCCCUAGAGGAGAACCUUCAAAUAUCCUUCUAAAUGGACACAGUAUUAAACUAACCAAUAAUGACUUAUUGUCAUGCUAAGCUUUUGGAUUUGUUUUGUUAUUUGAGACAGGGUCUCUCUACACAGCUCUGGCUGUCCUGGAACUCACAAUGUAGUGGCUAUCCUGAAAUCACAAAAAUCUGCUUGCCUCUGCCUCACAAGUGCUGGAGUCAAAGGUGAGUGCCACUACAUCUGGCAUGAUGACUUAUUGUUUGUUAUACUUCUGGAUUAGUGCCUCUCUCCACCCUCAUCAGAGGAGCCUCUAUGUGUUGUAGAAGCAAUUAACACAGAGACCCAUAACUGGUCAGGGUACAGAGAAGAAGAGACUGUAAAAUCAUUAGUCCUAAAUGGGAAUCUAUAUCAGCCCCUCACCUCCCAAGUCUUGGGGAAUCAUUGCAUAAAAGAAGACUAAAUGGGUAUAACAGGGAUUAAGUAUUAGUAGCAAAGCAGUAUGUGCUUGACACGAUGGCGCACAGAUGAUGUGAUUAGAUGGCUUGACUCUGCACAAAGUGUUUCUGAAAGCAAUCCUAUAGUACGAUAUAGUAAGAAGUGAAUCACCACAUCAGAAAAAUGAGAGGGCCAUGGAGGGGAAAUUCAUGGAAAAUACAUAUGGGUAAUUGAAACAAUACAAUGAAGUCCUUCUUAAAUAUGUAUAUGAAGAAACAGUCCUUAAAAAUUUUUACUUUUACUAUUCAUCUAAGGACCAUAACAUAAUUUUCUCGAUCAGAUCAAGCAGGCAAAUAAAAGCAGUAUACAAAGUCAUGCAAAUUGACAUAGACCUGUAGCACCCACACUUAGUUUGGGAAGCUUGUUGUACGCAGAUUGGUUGGUUGUGCUCCGGCUCCUCAGACUCCCGAAAUAAUCACACAGAAACUAUAUUCUUUUCAAUAGUGUUUGGCCAAUAGCUUAAGUGUAUUACUGGCUAACUCUUAUAUCCUAAACUAACCCAUCUCCAUUCAUCUGUUACCCAUUAUCAUCACGUGACUGUAGCUUACUGGGUAAAGUUCCUGGAGUCUGUCUCCCAUGGAGCUACAUGGCCUGUCACUGACUCCACCUUCUUUCUCUCAGCAUACAGUUUAAUUUUCCCUGCCUAGCUAAGUUCUGCCCUGCUAUAGGUCCAAAGCAGUUUCUUUAUUAACUAAUGGUAUUCACAUCAUAAAAAGGGGAAUUCCACAUCAGAUCCUGGGUCAGGAGGACUGAGUGCUCAAGAUAAGCAAAGGCUACAAAGGAGGGCAUUGUUAGAGGAAAACAAAACUCCUACAAUUCUUGUGAGAAUACUGGAAACAGUGAAACCAUUUGCCUUAGUGGUAUGAAUAUAAACCCAAACAGUUUACUAGCGAUAAAUUGGUAAUAACACCGAGUUUUAAAUAUUUAGGUUUUUAUGUGUUUAAGAAAUUCUAAUUUUAAUGCUUUCUUCAGUAAAUAACAAUUUAAAGUUAUUUGUACAAGGAUGUUCCCUGUGGUGAUGUCAACAGAAGUGUAAAUUGAAAUGAAUGCUUGAAUUUAAAAAUGAAAGAGGAGGUUAACAAAUAUCAAGGAGAAUAAGCCAAAUCUUCAUGUUCUGACCCAAGAAAUUGUUAUUUACUGAUUAGUGAGUAAUGGGAGCAGAGCUGAGCCUGGUAGAGCAUGCCUGUAAUACCACCUACUCAGAGAAUGACAAAUAUCACCCCUGCUUGUGUUUCAAGGAAAUGCAGUGUGACUUAAUAAGAUCCUGCUCAAAACACAUUUAUAAAGAAGUACUGGACAUGUGCUUCAAUUUUCCUGGCAUGCAUGGAACCUUAUAUCUACUCCUCAGUACAACAAAAUAAGUGGGAAGAAAAGGAAGAAAAGUAAGUUGUAAUAAGAAUAGUAAACAAAUUAUAGUCCAUUAUAAGCAUACUAAAAUUUGUGUGCAACGGAUAAUAGACAAUAGGUGCUUUUCUUUAAUUUAAAUUUUUACCUCUAUUUAAAUUGAUACUUAAGUACUUCUCUUAGGCAAUAUAGAGAUUCUGUGAUUUACCUAAAAUUGUUAUUUUUUGACUGUCUGUAUCUUAGAUGAUCAUUUUUCCAGGAAGGGAAGGGAAUCAACUUCAGCUUCCUCUUAUCUGGGAACUUAACCACAGUGAGAUGCUUAGAAUUCUCUCACCAAAGCCUAUGCCAAAGAAAACCCAAAAUGUGACUACUUCAAGUAAACAGUAAAGACAGAUUCAAAACCAUGUCUAGAAACAGGAAUCCUGGAGUUUUAAAAGACAGGUUUUCCAAUAGAACUGUUAUCAGACAAUUGGAAACAACUUCAAACACAAGUGUUUGUUGUACCCUGGAAAACUACAACACAUAACCUAAAGAAGGGCUCAAAUAUUCUAUUCAGUAAAUGUUUUAUGAAUUCUGUGUUGGAGGUAACUGCUUUCCAAUACUGUAUUUAACAGUGAACCAAAACCUCAAGUGUCUUCUCUUCAUGGAACCGCAAGGCUAGUAUGGAGAAAAAAAUAAACAACACACACACACACACACACACACACGCACGCACACACACACCACAUGAAAUGCAUUAUGUACUGUGAAAUAUGGUGUGAAAUAUUAUUAGGGAGUUCUAGGUUGAAUAAGAAUAUCAGUUUUAUGCAGAAAUGGUUAAGAAAGGCUUGGUCAAGUGGAACUUGAAAAGACCCAAAGAAGUCAGAAACAAGCCAUGGAGGUACAAGGAAAAGAUGACCCUAGGGAGCUGGUCAGGUCACAUAUUGACUGUGUUUUUAGAAGGGGCAUGAAACCACCAAAGAAUGUGUGUUGGCAAGGAGCAACUGGGCAUGAGACAUGGUGAAGGGCCAGGCUACGCAGGGUGUCCAGUGUCCUUCUGGGAUUUUAGUUUUUUCUAUGCAAUAGAGGGAGUCCUUGGAGCAUUGUAAGCAAAAGUAGCCUUGACUGGGGUAAAUCAGGAACUAAUUAUGCAGAGGACACCAGUUGUCUGCACAGUGGCUUGCAUCAUUUAAUUGCCUUUUAAAUUAAGUUAUUAGCUUUUGUACAUAUGAGGAGUGGAUCUAACCCUUUCAUAAAAUUUUAAUCUUUACAACAAUAAUAUUAUCAGAAAAUAGUAGCACAAUGGCAGCCAAAUAUAGAAAAAGGAGAAAUACUGUGUAGAAAUGAGGCAAUCUAUGAUCAGCAUCACAGGAAGACAGGACAGAAAGUUUUCUUGAGUAUACCGAAAGGGCCUGCUAGGAGAUGUGUUUGUGUGCAUAUUUAUGUAAGAUUUUAGGAAUUUUCAUCCUGAUACCCUUAAUCUCCCCUUGAGAAUAUAAAAAGGUUAAUUUGCUUAGAGAAAGAUUCUAGAGUUGAAAUUGAGGGCUUGAAGCGGUUGGCAAACAUUUGAAAUAGCUGUAGUGGGAAAUGGAGCUGAGAAGGCAGCUGAAAUUGAGAACCAUAAAAAUAUAGUGUCACCAUUGCUCACAUUUAUGCGACUUUCUCCAAAAGUCCCCUAGCAGCUCAGAAACCAGAGUAGAAAGGGCAGAUGUUUAGUGUAAACCAAGUUUCUGAACUCAGUGCAACAUCAACAGGCUUGGGACAAGAUAUACUGUGAAAGAUAAAAUUCAUCUUUCAUUAUGUAGGCAAUUACAAAAGUAGACAAAACAUAGGAAACAGAUUAUUUAGAUCUUUGCCACUAUAUAAUUUAAAACAGUGUCAUCUGAGGGAUAGAAACAAAUGAGUCAAGACCUACAGUUGUACAAACUAAUAUCACACGUAUAUCUAUACAUCAGUGGAAGCAUAAACAUAAUCAGAUCCCAGAUUCUUGGCUGAAUACAAUGGCUGAGUUGGGAGUUCUGAAAGGUCAAAGUAGGCAGGCCUGAUGGUGGGGGAAUAUAACCCUACAAAGAUGGCUCAGGAGGUCUGAAGAGGAUUUCAUUUGAGCAUUUGAUAAAGGAUUCAUCUGCAAAUACAUAUAAGGAGGAAAGUACCAGAAGUUAUGGCAAGAAGAAAGAAAGUAAGAACAGAAAUCCCUCCAACUGACAUAGAGGAAGGACAAUCUCAUGUUUUAUUAAGCUAUAGUAGGAAGACCUUCAAGACAAGUAUAACUAAAUAUGUAGGGCAUGAAAACUUGUCUCUAAAUAUAAACAUAGGAUGCACAUUAUUGAAGUUCACUUAAAAUGGACCUAAAAACUGAUUCCAAAUAGUAUUAUCCUGUUCAAGAAUAAAACUUGAUAAUAUGUGUCUUAAUUAUGGUUUCUAUUGCUGUGAAGAGACACCAUGACCACAGCAACUCUUAUAAAGAAAAACAUAUAAUUGGGUGGCUUACAUUUAAAAGGUUCAGUCAAUUGUCAUCACGGCGAGACAUGGCAGUAUGCCAGGAGACAUGGUGCUAGAGCUGAGAGUGCUAUAUCUUGCAUGCAACAGGAAGUGCACUGUGCAUCACACCUAGGAAAGCUUGAGCAAAAUGACAUCAAAGCCCACUUCCGCACUUCCUCCAACAAGACCACAGCUAUUUUAUCUAGGCCACACCUCCUAAUAGAGCCACCCCCUUUGGGGGACAUUUUCUCUCUAGCCACCACACUAUGUUCAGAAAUAAAAAUGUAAAAAUGAUAAAAUUCACAAUUGUUAGUUUUGAAAAAUGAAACAUUAUUUAGCAAAGUAACAGGAAAAUCACACUUCAAGCCAAGAAGCAUGUCAAGCCCUGUCAGGAAACACAAACGACUGGUGGAGGGAAUUAUCUUUUGCACUAUCAAAUAGCCUUAAAUCAGAAACAAAUUUUAUAUGCUUUAAAAUUAGAAGAAAUUAUGAUAUUAUUAAAGUAAUAGAAUAUUAAAAUUUAACAUGAAAUUUAAAUUCACUGAAACGAACAGCCAAUGAGGCCAAAGGAAUUAUUAUGGAGUUAGUCAUAAGAUAUGGCAAUAUCAAUAUUUCAAAACAACAGUCAGAAUCAAGUAGUAUUGAAUUAAGUGAACAACAGCAAAAAUGAAGAUUAAAAAACUAUGGAAAAUUCCAAGUAGUUGUGAGAACUUCAGUCAUUAAUAGAAUCUCAUAAAGCAAAGAGGGAAAAAGAGAGAGAGAGAAAUUUCAAAUUUUCUAAAUUUGUUAAAUAUUAUUAACGUUAUAAAUCUAAAAAUUCAACAAAGUUCAGGCAAAAUGAAUAAGAACAAAACUAUACCAAAAUAUAUAUUAAAAAUUACUAAAUAAAAACAACAAUGAAGAAAAUCUUGUAGGUACUCUUUUUUUGGGGGAAAUAAGACAUAUUAUUUACAGUAUAACAAAAGAAAAACAACAGAAUUUAAACUAUAAAAAAUCUAUAACUAAAAACAAUGGGUUGAUAUAUUUGGGAAAAAAACCUAGAGAAUCAUUUAUUAUGAGAGAAGGAUCACCAUACCUGACUACAAGUUAUAUUACUUCACUACUAAAUUAACAUGGUGCUGGCACCAGAUCAGGCAAAAAGAUCAGUGGAGUAGAAAUUUAAAAACCCACACUAAGCUAUACCUAACCUUAAACAAAGAUGCCAAAAUCAUGCAUCAGAGAAGACAGUCUCUUCACAAAAGGUGCUGGGAGAGUCAGAACUGGAUAUUUACAUAUAAAAGAAUGAAACCAGAUCAUUAUCUCUUACUCUAUACAUAAAUCAAUUAAAAUGGAUUAACAAGCAUAGUGGAAAAAAACAUACUAUAAGUACUGGUUAGCUCAGGAAAUAAAGCCAAGAUCUGACAAAUGAAUUGCAUGAAAUUACAAGACUUCUACAUGCCAAAGGAAACAAUCCAGUGGCGAGGCAUUCUCACAGUAUAUUUCUACUAGUUGAAUACAUUUAACAGGAGAUUAAUGUCUUGACUGCAUAAAGAAAUAGCCAGCCUGGUCUAGAAGAGGUAGUUCCAGGACAGGAACCAAAAGCUACAGAGAAACCCUGU